CCACUCUGUCAAGCCCAGGGAAAGGCGUGGGGUCAGAGGAUUUGGCUCUGUCACACCAUUCACUGCCUGCCCUUCUUCCCAGCGCUUCCAAGAUCUGGUUGUAUUAAACACGAGAAUGAAGAGAGGAAAACACCUUCGCCCACGGUGUGCUCUGGGGACAUCUCCAGGUGUGGGUGGUGGCGUCAGCCACAGGACAGCGAUUCUGAUGCAGAACGUCCUCCGGCCACUCUUUUAACAGACACCGGCCUCUGCCUGGGCCAGAACAAGAGGCACCUGACCUGAAAUGUGGUCAAUCUCCAAGCAUGUCUCUUGGCCAGACAUUAAAUGAAAGCCUGUCCCCUGAGCUUUCAACACUAAGUCUGAGUAAAAAUAAAUCUUCACUGAGGCUUGAA
rnacentral:lncRNA from 1 species